AUGAGCCGCCGGAUCUCCCAGUGAGGAGGCCAGGGCCGCCGGAUCCGGUGACCCCGGUCUCCUCGCCGGCGGAUCCGGCGC
rnacentral:pre_miRNA from 1 species